CAGCCGCCGCGGGAAUACGGAGGGUGCAAGCGUUAAUCGGAAUUACUGGGCGUAAAGCGCACGCAGGCGGUCUGACAAGUCAGAUGUGAAAUCCCCGGGCUUAACCUGGGAACUGCAUUUGAAACUGUCAGGCUGGAGUCUUGUAGAGGGGGGUGGAAUUCCAGGUGUAGCGGUGAAAUGCGUAGAGAUCUGGAGGAAUACCGGUGGCGAAGGCGGCCCCCUGGACAAAGACUGACGCUCAGGUGCGAAAGCGUGGGGAGCAAACAGGAUUAGAUACCCCUGUAGUCCCUGUCUCUUUACA
rnacentral:rRNA from 1 species